rnacentral:rRNA from 1 species
CCGCAAAUUAAAAUAUACAAGUUCAGCGCAGCGCAACAUAAAAACUAACCAGGAUUCCCUUAGUAACGGCGAGUGAAGUGGGAAAUAAUGCAUACGUCGAAUAAUUUAUUAUUCGUUCGUAUCUAAGCCCGUCGAUUAAUCCAUUCUUUGCUGUUACACUUCGGUGUUUCAGUAAGAAGGAAUUGUAGCAUCGAAAUCAUUCAAGUUGUUAACAUAUAAAUUUUUUUUACACACAAAAAAAUUUUAUGCACAAAAAAUUUUUAUUUUAUUGAAUUGAAACACACAGCGUUUAGCGUCUGGAAAGCAAUCAUUGUAGUUUUACUACAGCCAUAGAGUGUGACAGCCACGUUUUAUGGAAAUAAUAAAAUAAUUUUUUUUGAUUACACGCAUUAAAAUGUUAACGUAAUUCGUGAAUGUUGAACCUGAGUCGAGUUGUUUGGGACUACAGCUCAAAUAGUUUGGUGGUGGUAAUGACUCAUCAAAAA